CAUAGGAAAGCAUUUUCAAUGCUUUCCUAUGGAGAGCUCUAAUGCGCAUGCACGGCAUUGCCGCACAUGCGCGUUAGGUCUCGCGGACGGGAUCAGUCUCGCCCACCGGCCGACGUAAUGAAGAGGAGGAGCGGCGGCGACCCAAAACCACAACCGAGGGACAACCGGGGAUUGGGAGGUGGGAGAGAGAGAGGGGACCUGCAGUGCCAGGAAAACGGAUUGUUUUCCUGGCACUGGAGAGUCCCUUUAAUUCAUGCAAGUAAUCCUACUGAAUUUAGCAAUUCAUCAUAUGUCUUCCUAAUAAG